rnacentral:rRNA from 1 species
CCAGCAGCUGCGUUAAUUCCGGCUCCCAUAGCGUAUAUUCAAGUUGGUGCAGUUAAAAAGCUCGUAGUUGGAUUUCUGGUAGGAUGACUGUGCCCUCAGUAGAGCGUGCGCAGGCGUCUUGCCAUCCUUCUGUUAACCUUUGAGAGCUUCAUCGCUCUCUUUGGGGCUCAGAUAUUUUACCUUGAGAAAAUUAGAGUGUUUCAGGCAGGCUAGCGCCGGAAUACAUUAGCAUGGAAUAAUAGAAUAGGACCUUUGCCUCUUCUGUUGGUCAUGGCGUUCGAGUAAUGACUAAUAGGGAUAGUUGGGGUCAUUAGUACUUCACUGUCAGAGGUGAAAUUCUCGGAUUUGUGAAAGACUAACUUAUGCGAAAGCAUUUGCCAAGGAUGUUUUCAUCAAUAAAGAACGAAAGU